CCACCCCAUUUGAUUUCCACGCCACCCUCGUGCCACCCUAAGAAAAUUUCUCUAGAUCAGCCCCUGAUUUUAUGACUGCUUGUGUUUUCCACUCAGGCUGCCGUUUAUCUGCAAUGACCCAUCUGGCCACACGGGGGAGUCACUGCGCUGUAAAGCCAGGCGAACAGCUCAGUCCUGACUUCUUCAUACUUUGCUUCCAAGCAGCCAGACCGUUAAUAGUUUUUAAAAUAUGUUUCUGAAGUGCUCUUGCGCAACAGUUUUCCAGACUUUCUGAAGGGCUUUCAAGGUGUUUCUCUGGAACCCUGGUCAGGAUGUUCAGGAAGAUGGCGUGGAGGAACACACCCAGUGAAGUGGUGAUUCUCCCAUAACACCAGCAUGUUACUGCUGAGGUCCUACGGUCCUGACUGUAUUUCUGCUCAGAGACGAGGGAGAGGGCAAAAACUUCAAGGUGUUCCUGGGUGACCCACAUACCCACUCCUGCCCUGUGUUCACCAAGAAGCUGGAGCAUUACAAGCACAUCUGCUGGUAUCACUGACACAACGGAAGGAAUAGCCAUUGAUGAGCAUUUUAAUAUAUUUUUUAAAUACUGUGUGAAGGCAAACACUGACUGUAACAAUUGAAUGCAUUGAUUUGUCCAUAGUACAUAGUGUUUAUUUUUCUCUUUACCCAUUUUUAGGAGAACUACUUAACAAUCCUCUCCAAAAACUCCUUUAUCCCUCUAAAGAGUCAGCAGUUAUGUUAUGGCAUCCUUUCUAAAAAUUCUAAUCGGUAGCUUUACCAACAGGAACAGUGAUGACAGGCUGCUAACAGGAAACUCCAGGGUGGGAAGGCUAAAUGAGCAUGACUCUUAAAUCAACCUUUUUAAUCUUUAUCAUUUCAGGGUUUUACUGUGGAAAGUCAGACUACCCAGAGAACAUGAAUGUGAGUUACUUUCAGACUUUUGGUCGGUCAAAGAUUGUAAAAACCUUUGAAACGUUUACUCACCCAUGGGCAUGAAUCUCAUGGUAUUUGGGGGCUUUUAAUGAUUUCUUUGAACUGUUCUUUUUUUAGUGGUGGAAAAAGUUAAUGUAUGUUAUAUAAUUCUAUCUAUAAAAGCUUUAAAAAACAAGAACUGUGUGCACAACUUUAAUUUUAUACAUAUACACUCCCAUUAAUUUGUGGCUUAAUGUCUCUUAGCAUGUUGGACCUCAACCAGACACUUUUGGUAGCCACCAACAAGCUUCUGGAAUAAUCCUGGCUCAGAUCUAACAGCUCUUCUUGGCAGAAUAGGAAGAAUUCAUUUAAAUUGGGUGGUUUCUUGGCACAAUCUAGGCUUUUAAGCUCAGUUCAAACAUUUUCAACAGGGUUGAGGUCGGAGCUUUGGGAAGGCCAUUCUAGAAGCUCAGGGUUAGCCUGCUUUAUCUGUUCUGUAACCAGUUUUUAUGUUUUUGGGAUCAUUGUCAUGUUGGAACACCCAACUGUGUCCAAGUUUCAACCAUCUAGCUGCUAAUUUGAAGUGAAGAAUUUGGAGUCCUCCCCCUUCAUUAUUCCAACCAUUUUGUAUAAUGUAUCAUUACCACUGGCAGCAAAACGGCCUCCGAUUCUACCACCACCAUGCUUGACAGCUGGUACAGUGUUCUCAGGUUUGAAAGCCUCACCUUUACCAGUCAUGAUACUUUACAGUUUGGGUCUUCUUCCAGACCUUUAAAACAUGGUGAUAGAUCUUAAUAACAGCUGUACUUGCAUACAGUGAGUUAAAUGGAUGAUCUUGGAAUCUGCAGUUGGCUCCAAAAAAUAUUCCCAACUUGGGUAAAUCAACAAUUCUCUUUCUUGGAUCGUCACUUGGAGUUCCUUGAACUUUCCCAUUGUUCUGAGUAUUGGUCAAUUCAAUGAGUGCUGUCAAACAAUCACUUUAAUGCUGCAAAGAGCAAUGACGAGUUACAUUAAAGAUUUAAGCUGUACAAUCAUUCCACCGUAGAAAAAGAACAGUUGAAAGAAAUCAUUAAAAAUUAGCAUCACACGGCCUUUCAGGUGAAACUUUUCUGUGUAAAGUUUUACAUAUUAAAAUCGAACAUUAAUCAAACUGUUAUUUCAUAUUCUAAAUUUUCACCUUAGUCAACUUCACAUGCGCACACACAUUUCAGCUCCACGUGGACUGUGUGGACCCGAUCCUUUGGUAGUCCAACUCCUGCCCCUUGGAUGGAUAUGUUGUUUACAACCCCCUGACUUUUAGAAUCAGUGACAGGAAGACCUCCGCAAAGUCAGACUUCACUUCGAGGUGCUAUCAGGCACUUCAGUUUCUUUAAACAUCAGGAGAUGAAUCCUUAAUCAAAAUCAAGUAAAAAAGAAAAAGAAAAAAAAGACUUGAAUCUGCAA